rnacentral:rRNA from 1 species
AUCAACGCUGGCGGCGUGCCUAACACAUGCAAGUCGAACGAGGAAAGUGGAGCAAUCCAUGAGUACAGUGGCGACCGGGUGAGUACACUUGACUAACCCUACCCUCGAGUGGGGAUAACUCCGGGAAAACCGGAGCUAAUACCGCAUAACAUCGCAAGAUCAAAGCAGCAAUGCGCUUGAGGAGGGGGUCGCGGCUGAUUAGCUAGUUGGCGGGGUAACGGGCCCCACCAAGGCGAAGAUCGGUAUCCGGCCUGAGACUGGGCGCACGGACACACUGGAACUGAAACACGGGUCCAGACUCCCUACGGGAGGCAGCAGUGGGGGAAUUUUGCGCAAUGGGGGAAAACCCUGACGCAGCAACGGCCGCGUGGAGGAUGAAGUCCCUUGGGAUGUAAACUCAUUUCGACCGGGAAGAUACUGACGGUAACCCGGAAGAAGAAGCACCGGCUAAACUCUGUGCCAGCAGCCGCGGUAAUACAGAGGGUGCGAGCGUUGUUUCGGAAUUAUUGGGCCGUUAAAGGGCGCGUAGGCGGUGCGGUAAGUCACCUGUGAAAUCUCCUGGCUCAAACUGGGAGUCUGCAGGCGAAACUGCCGUGCUGGAGUAUGGGAGAGGUGCGUGGAAUUCCGGUGUAGCGGUGAAAUGCGUAGAUAUCGGGAGGGAACACCUGUGGCGAAAGCGGGGCGCCACUUGGACCAUAACUGACGCUGAGGGCGCGAAAGCUAGGGGAGCAAACAGGAUUAGAUACCCUGGUAGUCCUAGCCCCUAAACUAUGGAUGCUUGGUGUGAUGGGUACCCAAUCCCAUCGUGCCGCAGCUUAACGCGUUAAGCAUCCCGCCUGGGGGAGUUACGGUCGCAAGGCCUGAAACUCAAAGGAAUUGACGGGGGCCCCCGCACAAGCGGUGGAGCAUGUUGGUUCAAUUCGACGCAAACGCGAGAGAACCUUACCUGGGCCGAAAUGGAGUGGAAUGGGGUGGAAACAUCCCCCGCCCGCAAAGGGCCGCUCUAUAGGUGCUGCAUGGCUUGUCGUCAGCUUCGUGUCGUGAGAUGUUGGGUUAAGUCCCGCAACGAGCGCAAACCCUUAUCGUCAGUUGCCACCCGGGUCAAGCCCCGGGCACUCUGGCGAAACCGCCUCGGAUAACGGGGAGGAAGGUUGGGGGAUGAACGUCCAAGUUCCUCAAUGGCCUUUAUGUCCAGGGGCUACACACGUGCUACAAUGGUCGGGUACAAACCGUCGCAAACACCGCGAGGGGGAGCUAAUUCGGAAAAAAGCCGACCUCAGUUCGGAUUGGAGUCUGCAACUCCGACUCCAUUGAAGCUGGAAUCGCUAGUAAUCGCAGAUCAGAACGGCUGCGGUGAAUACGUUCCCGGGGGCCCUUGUAACACACCGGCCCGUCACAUCACGAAAGUGGACUGCAACUUAGAAGCCGGCGUGCCCAACCUGCAAGGGGGGUAGCCGUCCAAGGUAUGGUUCAUGAUUGGGGUG